rnacentral:tRNA from 1 species
GAAAGAAAUAGUUAAAUUACUGCUAAUAAUUUACUGUCAAUUUAGUUUGACUUCUUUCU